CUAGCUACAAUAUUAUAAUCUAUACUUAAGGGACUGGAAUACCUUUAUUUUGUGAGAAAAAUACACUGAGCUAUCAAGGUAGAAAAUAAAUUUGCUAAAUACAGAGGGAUUUGCAAAACUGCAGAUCUUAAGGUAGGAUGUGAACUUACACAUAACAUGGCCAAGCAAAAUGUAGUAAUAGGAGCACCAUUUUGGAUGGCUCCAAGAAGUGAUUCCAGAAGUGGAAUCACAAUCCAGAAGUGAAUUAGGGAAUUGGGUACAACUGAUUGGUGAACAUCUGGUUGCUGGUAAAAACAGCCUUAGUAAAUGGCUGAAGGAAAAGGCCCUUAUGCU
rnacentral:lncRNA from 1 species